CACUCCUACGGGAGGCAGCAGUGGGGAAUUUUGGACAAUGGGCGAAAGCCUGAUCCAGCCAUGCCGCGUGCAGGAUGAAGGCCUUCGGGUUGUAAACUGCUUUUGUACGGAACGAAACGGCCUUUUCUAAUAAAGAGGGCUAAUGACGGUACCGUAAGAAUAAGCACCGGCUAACUACGUGCCAGCAGCCGCGGUAAUACGUAGGGUGCAAGCGUUAAUCGGAAUUACUGGGCGUAAAGCGUGCGCAGGCGGUUAUGUAAGACAGUUGUGAAAUCCCCGGGCUCAACCUGGGAACUGCAUCUGUGACUGCAUAGCUAGAGUACGGUAGAGGGGGAUGGAAUUCCGCGUGUAGCAGUGAAAUGCGUAGAUAUGCGGAGGAACACCGAUGGCGAAGGCAAUCCCCUGGACCUGUACUGACGCUCAUGCACGAAAGCGUGGGGAGCAAACAGGAUUAGAAACCCCGGUAGUCCCA
rnacentral:rRNA from 1 species